UUGAACACUUCAAAUGAGUUGACAUAGACAUUGCGCGCUACGUAGUUGCUCUAGACGUUCGGGAGCGCGCCUGCGCGGACGAAUCCGCGGUUCGCGAAAACAGGCUCCGCCGUGCUCCUGCUCGCCGGAUCGUCGGGGGCUUGCAGCGACCGCCGUUGCUAUCGCGGCGUCGGAGUUUUGGCGAUAAUGUCUCCUCGGUGCACGGAAAAAGCGGCCGCUGCGAGUGCGGGAUGCAUCAACACCUUUAACGACCACUCGUGAACGAGGCAAGGCCGCCUAUGGUCGGCUAUUGGCGGCUACCAUGAAAGUCGCUUCGAACGCGGCGCCGCGUUUGGUUGCACCUAGGCUUAUCUGAUGGCACGUGCAACGUUGUGAAACUUGGUAUAAUCUAGGCUGCAUCUAGUAGAUCGGUUAUCACUUUGGAGGCUUAGCCAAAGAUCCGUGCAAAUUGAGCGUCGUAUCCAUCCCGUCUUAAGAUACCGUGUACCACCUCUUUGAGAUUCUGGAAUUUGCGCUCUGCGGGGUGUGAGAGCAAGCAGUGUAUAAUUACAAACUGUGUUAGUCGGCGUCAUUAAUCCAGGGAGGAAAAUUCGACAGUAAGACUCAAGAAUGCCGGAACAAUUUAUGUCUGCCAUACGCUCGAGAUGUAGGUAAAUUCCUCGGCGGGUUAUCACUCACGCGGCUUUCCUAUUUCCUCCACAGUGACUUUAACGGAGCAGACGUGAGUACAAAGAAUUCUCAGUUUGAAGUGGUUCUAUUUUAUUAAAUGUUAAUUAACAAUUGUAAAUGUAUGUGCUUGAGUAUUUUAUUUUUUUAACUGUUUUUCUUCAUACAUACUGAACAAACUGAUUUAAUAUUAUUAAUACGUUGAAAUAUAUUUGCACACGCGCGAUCCAAUCUCGAUAGAUCGUUUCGGUACGAUUCAUAUACCAGAAUGCUAAUCCUAUGAUUAAUGAUUGCUGUCGCGUAAUUGGCGAAAGCGUCGAGUACCUUUAAUACAACGCUAAGGUGCACUUGACACAGUGGAACGUCAAACAGAUGGAUUCGCAACCAGAUAGCGAAUUGCAACAGACGUCAGAUGAGCGUUGCGUUACAUAUGUGCAACAAUGAAGGUAUACCAUGUUAUUAUCUCGAUGACGAGCAACAUUUCGGCCAUUUGCCGCGGCAGAAGCGUAAUGUUCUUGGCAACAUGGUGCGAUACAAUGUUGUGGCACUUUGAUUGGUAGCUCUAACAUGCACCAGUAAGUGUGCAUAUGUAUACUGAUGACUUGUACCUGACGUGUUCCCUAUUGCGCUAUUGGCAUCCGUUUGGCCUAAAACGUAACUCGCAACAAUCAAACAAGAGAUAGCAGUGAAUAAAUUAAAAUUAUGAAAUACGAAAAA